rnacentral:rRNA from 1 species
UACAGAGGGGGCAAGCGUUAUUCGGAAUUAUUGGGCGUAAAGGGCGCGUAGGCGGCCUGGCAAGUGGAAGGUGAAAUCCCUCGGCUUAACCGAGGAACUGCCCUCCAAACUGCUUGGCUUGAGUCCGGGAGAGGUGAGUGGAAUUCCCAGUGUAGCGGUGAAAUGCGUAGAGAUCGGGAGGAACAUCAGUGGCGAAGGCGGCCAUCUGGGACAACACUGACGCUGAGGCACGAAAGCGUGGGGAGCAAACAGG